AUUGAACGCUGGCGGCAGGCCUAACACAUGCAAGUCGAGCGAGCGUCGGACGGGUGAGUAAUGUAUGGGGAUCUGCCCGCUAGAUGGGGAUAACUACUGGAAACGGUGGCUAUUGCCGCAUACUAUCGGAUGAUCACAUAUGGGAUUAGCUACUAGGUGGGGUAAAGGCUCACCUCGGCGACGAUCUCUAGCUGGUCUGAGAGGAUGAUCAGCCACACUGGGACUGAGACACGGCCCAGACUCCGACGGGAGGCAGCAGUGGGGAAUAUUGCACAAUGGGCGCAAGCCUGAUGCAGCCAUGCCGCGUGUAUGAAGAAGGCCUUAGGGUUGUAAAGUACUUUCAGCGGGGAGGCGUUACCCGCAGAAGAAGCACCGGCUAACUCCGUGCCAGCAGCCGCGGUAAUUC
rnacentral:rRNA from 1 species